rnacentral:rRNA from 1 species
UACGUAGGGGGCAAGCGUUGUCCGGAUUUAUUGGGCGUAAAGAGCGUGUAGGCGGCCUGAAAGGUCAGCUGUGAAAACUCGAGGCUCAACCUCGAGACGUCGGUUGAAACCAUCUGGCUAGAGUCCGGAAGAGGAGUGUGGAAUUCCCGGUGUAGCGGUGAAAUGCGCAGAUAUCGGGAAGAACACCCGUGGCGAAGGCGGCACUCUGGGACGGUACUGACGCUGAGACGCGAAAGCGUGGGAGCGAACGAGG